GCGCCAGUAGCCCAACGGAUUAGAGCAUCUGACUACGGAUCAGAAGGUUGCAGGUUCGAAUCCUGUCUGGCGCA
rfam:Gardnerella vaginalis ATCC 14019, complete genome.